UACGUAGGGUGCAAGCGUUGUCCGGAAUUAUUGGGCGUAAAGGGCUCGUAGGCGGUCUGUUGCGUCGGGAGUGAAAACUCAGGGCUUAACCCUGAGCCUGCUUCCGAUACGGGCAGACUAGAGGUAUGCAGGGGAGAACGGAAUUCCUGGUGUAGCGGUGAAAUGCGCAGAUAUCAGGAGGAACACCGGUGGCGAAGGCGGUUCUCUGGGCAUUACCUGACGCUGAGGAGCGAAAGUGUGGGGAGCGAAACAGG
rnacentral:rRNA from 1 species